AAAAAGUGCAGUUAUGGUUUCCCGUGUCCAACGUUUGACCGUCCGUAUUACUUGAAAAAAAUAUGGUCAAUAUUUUUAUUGUUAUUAGAUGUUAAAACAUGAAUAGUAUUUUAUAUGUAACUAUUUUUUUUUAAAAAAACCAAAUAAAAUAGACGGUCACAACUGUAAUUAUAUUGGGUCGGAGUUAGU
rfam:Oryza glumipatula chromosome 2, whole genome shotgun sequence.